GUUUAAUCACAGACAGCCUCGUAGAGGUCAUCCUUACAUCAACAUUUGAUCUGUUAGCAGCAUAAAUUAUAGGGGAGCUACAAUUGCUUUUUAAAUAGCAAAAUAUUUGUAUGCGACCAGAUGUCUUGUAAGCAGACGAGUUUAAAAAAAAACUGUGCACAAGGACUUCACACAGAGGCUUCAUUUGUUUGCCAGACACAGAUAACAGUGGGGCAACGAGGGGUCCAAAGGGCAUCGCUUUCACACUAUGAAGGGUCACGGCUGCUAUUGACUAAAGCGCAAGAGUCAUGAUAAUGGUACGUGUGUAGCAGUGCAGUCAGCAGUCAUUGAUCUGCAGUGCCGUAUGCUGAGAUUUCCCUGGAGUGAAUCAACUCGACUGCCUGUGAGUGUCUCAGAGGGACCAGAAAUACGUCUGGGACUGCAGUGCUGUCCAAGUGCACUAGUAUCACUGUAUCAACAUGGCAAAUACACAGAGGUUAAUGCAUGGAUGGGGCCAGAGGUCAAAGGUUAAUGUCCUCUGACACAGCGGUCUCUUCCCCUUGAGACAGUCAGGCGUCUUGAAUCCAAAUGCCUUGGACGACCUGCUGGACCUGUGGAACCAGAGAAUAAACCUGCCAGAGUUUCAUU
ensembl:lncRNA